rnacentral:tRNA from 1 species
GCCUGGGUGGCCUAGUCGGUUAAGUGUCCAACUUCAGCUCAGAUCAUGGUCUCAUGGUUUGUGGGUUCGAGCCCCACAUCAGGCU